GCAUAUAGAAUACUACCACAGCUCGUCAUUGCUUGUCGUAGAAGGCGACUAAAAUGACACGGCAAUGUAAUUGCUCAGAGAGGUGCCUCUAGUAGGUGCAGAGACUCCGACUGCCAAUAACCUGGCAAUGGCCAGAUCGAUUCUGUUUCCGAGCAAUUACAGUAGGCCGAAUAGCUACAGCAUAUGGCACAUCAUCCGAAGAUCGAAGAGAGCAGAAUCAAUGUCAGGCGGAGAGAUGGAACAAUGGCAGAUGGACAAACAAUGUAAUUGCCAAUCUUGAGCACAGAACUCGGUGACGGAGAGGGGAAAUGGCUUCAGAGAGUAAAGAGAUGUUGUUGGAUUUGUGUUUCCCGCUGAGAGUCUGGUGAAAUAUAUGUUGGGAGGACAGGAUAACAGGAUAGAUCUCAGCCAGCCAGAACCGAAAUCAUGUAAUGGUAAAAAUUGUUUGCAUAUUGUUUUGCGCUGGCAUUGUGAUUUCCUCAGCGCCUCAACUAUUGUGAAACGUGUGCCAGAUUCAAUAAGGCAAAUGAAGCAGUCGUAAUGACGAUGAACAUGCGACAAGGCGACUGCGAGCUGAAAAAGUAAAAAUAAAAAUAAGCACAACUUUUGCUUUCGUUUGGGUUA